UCUACUGUAGCGCAAUGGAUAACACAUCUGAGUACAGAUCAGAAGAUUAUAGGUUCGACUCCUGGCUGGUUUA